UACGUAGGGUGCGAGCGUUGUCCGGAAUUAUUGGGCGUAAAGAGCUCGUAGGCGGCUGUUCAAGUCGAACGUGAAAACUCGGAGCUCAACUCCGAGCCUGCGUUCGAUACUGGACGGCUAGAGUCUGGUAGGGGGAUCUGGAAUUCCUGGUGUAGCGGUGGAAUGCGCAGAUAUCAGGAGGAACACCGGUGGCGAAGGCGGUUCUCUGGGAAUGACCUGACGCUGAGGAGCGAAAGUGUGGGGAGCGAACAGG
rnacentral:rRNA from 1 species